CAUCUCUCAGGGUCACACCUGGAGAGUUCCCAGUAUUCUACCCGUUUUGACUAUAGGAGGGAGAGUCAGGCAGAGGCAUAUCCAAUCUAUUCCAUUCCUAGCUUGGGCAGUGGCUGGUGAGUGGAAGGCAGUCUGCUAAAAGU
rfam:Ornithorhynchus anatinus chromosome 1, whole genome shotgun sequence.